rnacentral:rRNA from 1 species
GAUGAACGCUGGCGGCGUGCUUAACACAUGCAAGUCGAACGAGAAGUGAAGACAGAAACCUUCGGGCGGAAGGCUUUAUUUCGAGUGGCGGACGGGUGAGUAACGCGUGGGUAACCUGCCUCAUACAGGGGGAUAACAGUUGGAAACGACUGUUAAUACCGCAUAAGACCACAGCACCGCAUGGUGCGGGGGUAAAAACUCCGGUGGUAUGAGAUGGACCCGCGUUCGAUUAGCCAGUUGGCGGGGUAACGGCCCACCAAAGCGACGAUCGAUAGCCGAUCUGAGAGGAUGACCGGCCACAUUGGGACUGAGACACGGCCCAAACUCCUACGGGAGGCAGCAGUGGGGAAUAUUGCACAAUGGGGGAAACCCUGAUGCAGCGACGCCGCGUGAGUGAAGAAGUAUUUCGGUAUGUAAAGCUCUAUCAGCAGGGAAGAAAAUGACGGUACCUGAGUAAGAAGCCCCGGCUAACUACGUG